rnacentral:rRNA from 1 species
GCCAGACUCCUACGGGAGGCAGCAGUGGGGGAUAUUGGACAAUGGGGGAAACCCUGAUCCAGCGACGCCGCGUGAGUGAAGAAGUAUUUCGGUAUGUAAAGCUCUGUCAGCAGGGAAGAAAGAAAUGACGGUACCUGACCAAGAAGCCCCGGCUAACUACGUGCCAGCAGCCGCGGUAAUACGUAGGGGGCAAGCGUUAUCCGGAAUUACUGGGUGUAAAGGGAGCGUAGACGGCAGAGCAAGUCUGAAGUGAAAGCCCGCGGCCCAACUGCGGGACUGCUUUGGAAACUGCCCGGCUAGAGUGCUGGAGAGGUAAGCGGAAUUCCUAGUGUAGCGGUGAGAUGCGUAGAUAUUAGGAGGAACACCAGUGGCGAAGGCGGCUUACUGGACUGUAACUGACGUUGAGGCUCGAAAGCGUGGGGAGCAAACAGGAUUAGAUACCCGUGUAU